rnacentral:rRNA from 1 species
CACGUAGGGGGGCGAGCGUUUGUCCGGAAUCAUUGGGCGUAAAGAGCUCGUAGGCGGCUCAGUAAGUCGGGUGUGAAACCCUCAGGCUCAACCUGGGGACGCCACCCGAUACUGCUGUGGCUAGAGUCCAGUAGGGGAGUGUGGAAUUCCCGGUGUAGCGGUGAAAUGCGCAGAUAUCGGGAGGAACACCAGCGGCGAAGGCGGCACUCUGGGCUGGAACUGACGCUGAGGAGCGAAAAGCGUGGGUAGCAAACAGG